rnacentral:rRNA from 1 species
AUGUUGGUAGUGUUACCAAACUGUUUUUUUAGUUCCGAGCCUGUUUUCUGGCGACCUGCUUGUGAGAAGAAUAGGGCACUUGCCUCUGAACUGCUCAGUAGUUUGCUUGGGUUUGUAUCCACCCUGAAACUUGAUUGUUCUGAGGUCACUAAAUCUGUUUGGUGUCCAUUAUUGGUGUUUGAAACUGGUCUGCUAUCUGUUUUCCUUUGCUCUUUUAGUUGUGCCGUUGCAUGUUUUUGUUUAGAUGACUCCAUAUACUCGUUGACUGCUGAGGAAAGUAGUGUUGCUGAUGUGAUUUUGAAAAUUGAACUACUGUGCAAUCACGGUCCAUAG